UACGGGGGGGAGCAAGCGUUGUUCGGAUUUACUGGGCGUAAAGGGCGCGUAGGCGGCCACCGCAAGUCGACUGUGAAAUCUCCGGGCUUAACCCGGAAAGGUCAGCCGAUACUGCGGGGCUAGAGUGCAGAAGGGGGCAACUGGAAUUCUCGGUGUAGCGGUGAAAUGCGUAGAUAUCGAGAGGAACACCUGCGGCGAAGGCGGGUUGCUGGGCUGACACUGACACUGAGGCACGAAAGCGUGGGGAGCAAACAGG
rnacentral:rRNA from 1 species